AUGUUCGGCGAACAACAAACGAACGUCUCUUGUCAAACAAUUACCAAAAGACGGCCAAUUCUUCAGCGACCUCCGAUUCCAAACCAGUGAUACCAUUUUAUUUUGCCUAUUUUCAAUUUAAAAAUACAAAAAAUGAAACACAAAUUUCUCUAUUGCAAUUCUCUACCAAAAUAAACAUCUAUUUCCCAAUUAUGGAAAAUCUAUUUCAUUAGCUAGAUAAUCGCAUGAUGGUACCACUGGCAUACGAUUGCCCGAGGAACACACACAUCGGAUAAAGCCGAAAGACGUCAAUGUACCUUGUGCCGUGGCGAGAAGAGUGUGUGGUGACAUAGACGUUAGCGUCACGGCCGUGAGAACUCGUCGGUGUACUUUGAUGAUGAAGCACGACGUGUCGUUGUUCAGGAGUCCGUUGGGUUGCUGCGUCCUUUGCAACCGUUCCACGUGUUGCUGCAUCUCCGUCCGCAGCGCCGCGAUCUCUGCACGCUGACACCUAAUCCACACACCACACACCCUCAGCCACACAUCCUCUCGUGAGAUCGCUGGUUAUCGAUAUGCCACGAUUCGAGGAGGGACAAUUUUUUUUGGCAUUUCGAGAUGCAACACCUAAGUCUAAUGUCAUGUUUCGGCCAGUCAAUUAAUUUUGAAUAAAUUUAAAAUCAACUGCGUUCUAAAAUACAAAAAUUAUAUGUUUUUUUCACUACCGCAUGCAAAGCGAGAACAAACGUAUCAUCAUUAGUGUUUGUGAUUGCAGUUGAAGCUGAAACAUUAGCUGAAACAGGGUGAAAUUAGAGAAAGAAUUUAAUAAUUUUAUACGCAAAGCGAAUAUAUAUUAAUUAGGCAUGAAAUCAGCAAAAAAUCAAACGAAAUAAAUAUAUAAUAAUUUUCAUUAUACAUGUAUUAUUUAUAUUAACUUACUUCAAUUUAAAUAAUAAUAUAGAAAGUAUAUAAAUUUAUAAUAAUUUAUCAUAAUUAUAAAUAAUACAUUAUAUAUAUCAUUGUCUUGCCUUAAACAUUUAAGUUUAUUAUGUUUCAGGCAUAGAAUUAGGAAGCAAAAUUUAAUAAAUAAAUAAAUAACAACAUUUUCAUCAUAUAAAAUAUAUUGAUCAAAAGUAGUAUACAUUGAAAAUUAUACAUAGAAUCAUAUUGUUACAAUAUGCAAUCAAAACGACCACUAAACGAUAAAAAGUUUAGUGUAUUUGCUUUAUUUAUUUGGUAAAAUUUUAUAUUUUUACAUAAAUAAUAAUAACAUAUAAAAGCCAUAAUAAAAUUUUUUGUAUAAAAUAAUUUAAUUAUUGGAUUAAGUUAUUUGUUUCAUCGAUUUUAUUAUUUAUUGAUAAAAAAAAAAUGUUCACAUAAAUAUUCCAUAUAAAUUUUUAGUCGUUUUGGAUGCAAUCGAUUUAAAUGGAAAAUAUAAAAUAAAAUAUCGAAAGUGAACAAAAAAUAAUAUAAAAGAAAAAUAACGCACAGAAUUAUGCGAAAAGCUAUAAAUAUAAUUGUUUGCAGAUGUUACACAGUAACUCAUGCAGUAUCUAAAAACAUGCGUGUCAACUACUUGAUCAGUUUAAACAAAAGGAUAAAAAACAAAAAUAUUCGAUACAGUAACUUUCACUUGGCUCUUAUUACACAUCGUACAAAUAUUAUUGCUUUCAUGUUAUACUAUGCGCUAAGAAAUAAUAAAAAAAAAAACAAAUUAUUCUAUAAAUUAAUAUACUCCUUAAAUAAAAGAUAUGAAAAAUUAAAUAUAAAAAGUAAUACUACAAUAAUAAUAAAUAAUAUUGAAAACCUACCUAAUAAACUACAACUACAAUCAUGAUUUUAUCUAUUUCAGUAGAUAAUUAUGAAGAUAAAAAAUCACGUAAUAAGUUGAGUAAAAUUCGCUUCAACUUAAAUUUAAAAGAAUUUUGCAAUUCUUUUGUCAGUCAAAAUUAGAAAGUGUCAAUUUCUAACAAACAAGUAUCGUCAAAAAAUUGUAUUCUAGAAUAGUAUUGCUUAAUAAAUAUCACUGAAUUAAGAAUUCUGUCUUGGAAAAAGAGUUCACAAUACUCUUCAUGUCACUACUAAUA